CCACUGUGGCUCAAGUGGACAAGUCUUCAAAUUGUUUUGUGAGGAGCUAUUUUUGGCAAAGCCUUCGGAUCACUGAGAGAAGGCAUACAGAUGGCAAUCUCCAGUACUAUUUAGCAUACAAACUGCCUUCUUUGGCAGAACAGAUAAGCCAAUCCAAAAAUAUGAGCCUACAUUAGAAAACAGCUGCACAAAGUUCUCACUCCAGAAACAGGUGUUUUUACACACACACACACACACACACACACACACACACACACACUACAUUUUUAAGUCUUUGUUGUUUUCAUGAAUUUUCCCACUGGUUUCCCAGUAUUUUCACUAACUGGUGACUUGUUUCAGCUUUCUGAAAGGGAAUUUGAAAAGGGAAAGUUUAUGAACAAAAAAUACUCCAAUUACUUUCGCAAGGAAGUUUUCCACACAGAAACUGG